GGUUGUGCUCAGCGGCAGAGCGCUCGCCUAGCACAUGCGAGGCCCUGGGUUCGAUCCUCAGCACCA
rnacentral:tRNA from 1 species